rnacentral:rRNA from 2 species
UGAGGAAUAUUGGUCAAUGGGCGCAAGCCUGAACCAGCCAUCCCGCGUGCAGGAAGACGGCGCUAUGCGUUGUAAACUGCUUUUCCAGGGAGAGAAACUUGCGCACGUGUUGCGCAAUUGACGGUACCCUGGGAAUAAGCAUCGGCUAACUCCGUGCCAGCAGCCGCGGUAAUACGGAGGAUGCGAGCGUUAUCCGGAUUCAUUGGGUUUAAAGGGUGCGUAGGCGGACUAUUAAGUCAGUGGUGAAAUCCUGCAGCUUAACUGCAGAACUGCCAUUGAUACUGAUAGCCUUGAGUUUGGUUAAGGUAGGCGGAAUGUGUAAUGUAGCGGUGAAAUGCUUAGAUAUUACACAGAACACCAAUUGCGUAGGCAGCUUACUGAGCCGACACUGACGCUGAGGCACGAAAGCGUGGGGAGCAAACAGG